rnacentral:lncRNA from 1 species
UCUGCUCUACUUUUCUUUGUGCUAUAUUUUCUUUGUGUUUGUUUCCUUUUAUUUUGUAUGACAAUAUGUAUGGAAAAUAAUAUUUAAUUCUGUUCUAUUGCCUUUAAUUUUGCCAAAUAUAUAUUAAACCCAACCUAUAUUUUUAUAAUUUUCAAUAGACCGUAACUUUUCAUUGUUCCUCCUCUAUAAAGUGAUAGGGAGUUUGGCAAAAAUUUACCUUGUUCUGUCUUCUCAGCGCUUCAUCACUUUCCAGUAUUACUCAUUUAAUCUGGAGCUGUGAGCCAGUUUAUCCUCUGCAUUUUUUACAACCACCAAAUACUUAUUUCAGAAUUGGUCAUGGUUACUUGCAUUUAGUGUCGUAACCAGACUGCAGCUGACCCAGUACGCUACCAUCCCUUGGAACUCCACGACUGCAGUGAGCUCCUGCCGACUUCCGGGUUUCUGACUGCUGGACGCUGCAUCUACCAAGCGAUGGGGGGAAACAGAUGAAGCACCCACUCCUGAAUCCCCAGCCAAUGCCUGUGUAAAUACUCCCAUCAUGGCCAAUGUCAAGCUCCAACAGCACAUCACUGAACUUUGAGUUGGAAAGAAAUAUGCACACUAGGCUUUUGUGAGCUGUCUCAAGCUGGCUUCAUCACAUUAGCAGGAAAGUCAGUUGAUCAUUGACAGAGUUACCAAGAACACACAAUGGGGAAAGGACAGUCUCUUCAAUAAAUGCUGAGAAAACUGGAUAUCCACAUGCAGAAGAAUGUAAUUAGACCCUUAAUUCAUACCACAUACAAAAAUCAACUGAAAGUGGAUUAAAGACUUAAACAUUAGAUCUGAAACUGUAAAACUACUAGAAGAAAACAUAGAGAAAAAGCUUCUUGACAUUGAUCUAGGCAAUAAUUUUUUGGAUAUGACCCCAAAAGCACAAGCAACAAAGCAAAAAUAGACAAAUGGGAUUGAAUCAAGUUAAAAAGCCUCUCCAUAGCAAAGGAAACAAUAAACAGAGUAAAGAGACAACCUAUGGAGUAGGAGAAAGAACUUGCAAACCAUAUUCCUGAUAAAGAGCUAAUGUCCAAAGUACAUAAGGAACUCAAACCACUCAAUUGCAAGGCAACAAACAACCUGAUUUAAAAAUGUGCAAAAUACCUGAAAAGAUAUUUCUCAAAAGGAAACAUAUAAUGGCCAACACAUAUAUGAAUCACUCUUAUUCACUCAACAUCACUGAUUAUCAGGGAAUUGCAAAUUAAAAUCACAAUAAGAUAUCUUUUCACACCUGUUAGAAAGCUAUUAUCAAAAAGACAAAGGAUAACAAGCGUUGGCGAGGAUGUGGAGAAAAGGGAAUGCUUGUACAUUUGUGGGUAAAUUGGCACAGCUAUUAUGGAGAACAGUAUGGAAGUUCCUCAAAAAAUUAAAAAUAGAGCCACCAUAUUAUCUAGGGAUCCCACUUAUAGGAAUACAUCCAAAAGAAAUGAAAUUAGUAUGUUGAAGAGAUAUUUGCACUCCCAAGUUCAUUGCAGUAUUAUUCACAAUAGCUAUGAUAUGGAAUGAACCCAAGUGUCCACUGAUGGAUGAAUGAAUAAAGAAGAUGUGGUAUAAAUAUACAAUGGAAUACAAUUUGGCCUUAUGAAAAGAAAAUCCUGCCAUUUGUGACAACAUGGAUAAAAUUGGAAUACAUUAUGCUAAGCGAAAUAAGCCAGGCACAGAAAGACAAACACUGAAAGAUCUCACUUACAUGUGGAGUCUAAGAAAGCCAAACUCAUAGAAGCAGAAAGUAGAAUGGUGGUUGCUAGGGUUAAGGCAGAGGAGGGAGAAUGAGAACAUGUUGGAUAAAGGGGGUGUGAACUUUCAGUUAAAUGGAUAAAUAAGUUCUAAAGAACUAUUGUACAGCAUGGUGACUAUAGUUAAUAAUAAUAUAUUACAUACUUGAAAAUUGCUAAGAGAGUGGAUCUUAUGACCAAAACAUAUGUGAGGCAAUAGAUAUGUUAAUUAGCUUGAAUCAAUCAUUUCACAAGAUCUAUCUAUCUAUCUAUCUAUCUAUCUAUCUAUCUAUCUAUCUAUCUAUAUGUCAAAACAUCACAUUAUAUACUGUAAAAUAUAUAAAAUUUUUAUUUGUCAAUUAUACCUUAAUAAAACUGGGAGAAAUUGUUAAGAGGAUAAAUCACAUGUUAAGUGUUCUCACAGCAACAAAAAGCAGAGCAAAACAAAAUGAAACAACAAACAAGAAGCACAAGACAACUUUUGGAGGUGAUGAACAUGUGUAUUACUUUGCGGUGAUGAUUUCACGGGUGUAUGCCUAUGUCCAAACUGAUCGAAUUGUAUCUAUUAAACGUGCAG